CAGGCCCAGCAGGCGCAGCUGGCGCAGCUGGCCGCCCUCGGCAUCCCGACCUCGACUGAGUACGCUGCUGACCCGUACCUGGGGCACAGCAUAGGGCCCAUGGCCGGAUACGGGGCCACCGUGUACCGCGGCGCGUACAACCGGUUCGCGCCGUACUAGCCGGCCGGCCGGGGAGCGAGCGCGUCCCGCCAUCGAGACCUCAGCGCCCGGGGAGCGCGCCCGGGGCGCCACCUGUUGCUCAGCGUCGCCCGCGCCAGCGGCGGCCGGCCGGCACCAAUACUCAGCGCCGC